UCUUUUCCUUUUUUUCCCGCAGCCGCGGUAAUACGGAGGAUGCGAGCGUUAUCCGGAUUUAUUGGGUUUAAAGGGUGCGUAGGUGGUGAUUUAAGUCAGCGGUGAAAGUUUGUGGCUCAACCAUAAAAUUGCCGUUGAAACUGGGUUACUUGAGUGUGUUUGAGGUAGGCGGAAUGCGUGGUGUAGCGGUGAAAUGCAUAGAUAUCACGCAGAACUCCGAUUGCGAAGGCAGCUUACUAAACCAUAACUGACACUGAAGCACGAAAGCGUGGGGAUCAAACAGG
rnacentral:rRNA from 1 species